AAGAGUUUGAUCAUGGCUCAGAUUGAACGCUGGCGGCAGGCCUAACACAUGCAAGUCGAACGGUAACAGGAAGCAGCUUGCUGCUUUGCUGACGAGUGGCGGACGGGUGAGUAAUGUCUGGGAAACUGCCUGAUGGAGGGGGAUAACUACUGGAAACGGUGGCUAAUACCGCAUAACGUCGCAAGACCAAAGAGGGGGACCUUCGGGCCUCUUGCCAUCAGAUGUGCCCAGAUGGGAUUAGCUUGUUGGUGAGGUAACGGCUCACCAAGGCGACGAUCCCUAGCUGGUCUGAGAGGAUGACCAGCCACACUGGAACUGAGACACGGUCCAGACUCCUACGGGAGGCAGCAGUG
rnacentral:rRNA from 3 species